UGAGGAGGAAGACGCAGUGAACUGAAACAUCUAAGUAGCUGCAGGAAGAGAAAGCAAAAGCGAUUGCCUUAGUAGCGGCGAGCGAAACGGCAGGAGGGCAAACCGAAGAGUUUACUCUUCGGGGUUGUAGGACUGCAAUGUGGACUCAAAGAUUAUAGAAGAAUGAUUUGGGAAGAUCAGCCAAAGAGAGUAAUAGCCUCGUAUUUAAAAUAGUCUUUGUACCUAGCAGUAUCCUGAGUACGGCGGGACACGUGAAAUCCCGUCGGAAUCUGGGAGGACCAUCUCCCAACCCUAAAUACUCCCUAGUGACCGAUAGUGAACCAGUACCGUGAGGGAAAGGUGAAAAGCACCCCGGGAGGGGAGUGAAAUAGAACCUGAAACCGUGUGCCUACAACAAGUUCGAGCCCGUUAAUGGGUGAGAGCGUGCCUUUUGUAGAAUGAACCGGCGAGUUACGUUAUGAUGCGAGGUUAAGUUGAAGAGACGGAGCCGUAGGGAAACCGAGUCUGAACAGGGCGCAUUAGUAUUAUGUCGUAGACCCGAAACCAUGUGACCUACCCAUGAGCAGGUUGAAGGUGCGGUAAGACGCACUGGAGGACCGAACCAG
rnacentral:rRNA from 11 species